rfam:Peptococcaceae bacterium BRH_c23 BRHa_1000788, whole genome shotgun sequence.
AAAGUCUGGUCAACAGCCGGAAGCGAGUCUUGCAGAAGCGAGUCUUGCAUACUAAGAAGCGAUUCUUGGUGUGAAGCGUAGACAGCAAGUGCAAAAGCUGUGUGAUUGAGCCUCGAAAACCUUUUCGUUGGAGCUUUUGUUUUUACCAGAUCAGGAGCAGUACAAGGGUACUUUAUAGACCUGGUGCCGUUGUCCGACCGGGGUCGAAGAGCA